rnacentral:rRNA from 1 species
UACGGAAGGCAGCAGUGGGGAAUAUUGCACAAUGGGCGCAAGCCUGAUGCAGCCAUGCCGCGUGUAUGAAGAAGGCCUUCGGGUUGUAAAGUACUUUCAGUCGUGAGGAAGGUGUUAAGGUUAAUAACCUUAGCAAUUGACGUUAGCGACAGAAGAAGCACCGGCUAACUCCGUGCCAGCAGCCGCGGUAAUACGGAGGGUGCGAGCGUUAAUCGGAAUUACUGGGCGUAAAGGGCACGCAGGCGGUUAAUUAAGUUGGAUGUGAAAUCCCCGGGCUUAACCUGGGAAUGGCAUUCAAGACUGGUUAGCUAGAGUCUUGUAGAGGGGGUAGAAUUCCAUGUGUAGCGGUGAAAUGCGUAGAGAUGUGGAGGAAUACCGGUGGCGAAGGCGGCCCCUGGGACAAGACUGACGCUCAUGUGCGAAAGCGUGGGGAGCAAACAGGAUUAGAUACCCGU